rnacentral:misc_RNA from 1 species
UUUCCGUAGGUGAACCUGCGGAAGGAUCAUUAACACAUAUCCACGUUUAGCAACCACGUUUAACUCGUACACCUCCCGCACUGGUUUUUUUUUCUUUUUUGAAAAAGAAAGCAGAAGGGAAACUAGAAAGGCUAGGUUGCAAGGAGGAAAGGGAAAGAGGGGGGGGUUUAUUGUUUACUUUGCUUUUUUAUACUCUUAGCAGUUCGUAUUCGUGAGUUUUAACACCGGAUCUCUUGGCUUUUGCAUCGAUGUAGAACGCAGCAGAUCGGAAGUUUUCCC